rnacentral:rRNA from 1 species
AACGCGAAGAACCUUACCUGGGCUCGAAAUGUACAUGAAUCCGGCAGAAACGUCGGCGUCUAGCAAUAGACAUGUAUAUAGGUGCUGCAUGGCUGUCGUCAGCUCGUGUCGUGAGAUGUUGGGUUAAGUCCCGCAACGAGCGCAACCCUUAUCUUCAGUUGCUACCAUUUAGUUGAGCACUCUGACGAAACCGCCUCGGAUAACGGGGAGGAAGGUGGGGAUGACGUCAAGUCCUCAUGGCCUUUAUGUCCAGGGCUACACACGUGCUACAAUGGCCGGUACAAACCGCUGCAACCCCGCGAGGGUGAGCUAAUCGGAAAAAGCCGGCCUCAGUUCGGAUUGGAGUCUGCAACUCGACUCCAUGAAGCUGGAAUCGCUAGUAAUCGUGGAUCAGCAUGCCACGGUGAAUACGUUCCCGGGCCUUGUA